rnacentral:tRNA from 1 species
AGCUCAGCUGGAUAGAGUGCUGGCCUCCGAAGCCAGAGGUCGUGGGUUCGAAUCCCGCC